CUAAACGCACCUAAGAUGUCAAAACGGCUGGUAACGAGUUAAGACUACCACCUAAGUAGGUCAUAGCAGGAUUUGAACGCAGAAUGCAAAGAGAUGGAACAAAUACCGCAUGGCAUCCAGUCUGAUGUGCUAACAGUUCUGUCAAAACACUACAUUGGUGUUUUUUAUUAACUACGAAAGGACAAAAGGCAAAGUUGACCUCGGUAGGGUUAGAACUCAGGGCUCAGGGAGCAUAUCGUAAAGCAUUUCGUCAGAUUCCUAUUGUAAGGCCACUUUGUCACUUUACAAGGUGAAUGCUGAAGGUACCAAAAGGACCAAAUGGCGGUAUUAAAUCGGGCGAUGGAGGAAAUCUAUCACUCAAACAAAAAUAGUGAUGCAAUGGCAGAUAUAAGGAAAGGAAGACAGAGAGAGAUGUCGCGGAAAUACUUCGAUGAUAUACUUCUCAGGACUAUGAAAAAUAUCGUCUUUAAAUGGUGAAAUAGAACACUAGCUCAUUAUUCGAAGUCGAAUAUUACACCGUCGUUGAACUGUCUUUUCUUAUUGCGUGCAAUUCUAAAUAUCUAUUGACUGUUUACGAACUGCAUUUAUGGAGACCGAUGUCAUUAUUAUACGUUUCUAGAAAUUCAACAGAUUCAUGAAAAUAUUUUGACUUCAGGCUACUAAUUUAGGUAUUUCUUUGAUUGCUAAGCAAAUUGCAUGGCCAACAUGAUUUUCUCUGGAAUUAAUGGCUACGUACAAAGUGUAAAAACAAACUACAUAGAACUACAACAACUCUAUAUCUUAAAACACGUAUCAAUCAUUUCCGUUUUAACUUUGUUAGCCAGACAUCUUUCCCAUCAAACAAUUAAUCUGCCAUUUCCUUACUAUUAUUGUUGGUUUUUUUAUUAGUGUAACUGGAUUCAGACCAAUAAAGCGACUAAUAUGAUAUCUAAAAUGACUGAAAUACCAAAGUGAA